CCCACACAGACAGUCACACACAGACAGUCACACACACACAGACAGUCACAGUCACACACACACACAGUCACACACACACACACACAGUCACACACACAGACAGUCCCACACAGACAGUCACAGUCACACACACAGUCACACACACAGACAGUCCCACACAGACAGUCCCACACAGACAGUCACACACUCACAGACAGUCACAGUCACAC